UUGGGCGUAAAGGGUGCGUAGACGGCGCGGAAAGUCCGGCGUGAAAGACAGGGGCUCAACCUCUGGACUGCGUUGGAUACUUCCGUGCUUGAGGACUGGAGGGGAGACUGGAAUUCACGGUGUAGCAGUGAAAUGCGUAGAUAUCGUGAGGAAGACCGGUGGCGAAGGCGAGUCUCUGGACAGAUCCUGACGCUGAGGCACGAAGGCUGGGGGAGCGAACAGGAUUAGAUACCCUGGUAGUCCCAGCAGUAAACGAUGUGAGCUUGAUGUGGGGGGAUUCGACCCCUUCCGUGUCGAAGCUAACGCGAUAAGCUCACCGCCUGAGGAGUACGGCCGCAAGGCUAAAACUCAAAGAAAUUGACGGGGACCCGCACAAGCGGUGGAGUAUGUGGCUUAAUUCGAUGCAACGCGAAGAACCUUACCUGGCCUUGACAUGCAUUGUGUCGUCGGUGAAAGCCGGCUAGUCCUGGAAACAGGACGCUUUGCACAGGUGCUGCAUGGCCGUCGUCAGCUCGUGUCGUGAGAUGUUGGGUUAAGUCCCGCAACGAGCGCAACCCUUGUGGUCAGUUACUAACCGGCUUAGCCGGAGGACUCUGGCCAGACUGCCCUGUCAAACGGGGAGGAAGGUGGGGACGACGUCAAGUCAGUAUGGCCCUUAUGGCCAGGGCUGCACACGUACUACAAUGCCCGGUAUAAUGUGAACCGAAACCGCGAGGUGGAGGAAAUCGCUCUUGAAAACCGGGCCCAGUUCGGAUUGGAGUCUGCAACUCGACUCCAUGAAGUCGGAAUCGCUAGUAAUGGCGUAUCAGCAACGACGCCGUGAAUACGUUCCCGGGUCUUGUACACACCGCCCGUCACACCAUGGAAGUCUCCUGUACCCGAAGCACGUGCGCCAACCUUUCAGGAGGCAGCGUUCGAAGGUAUGGGAGUAACUGGGAUGAAGUC
rnacentral:rRNA from 1 species